rnacentral:rRNA from 1 species
UACGGGGGGGCGAAGCGUUGUUCGGAAUUACUGGGCGUAAAGGCUCGUAGGUGGCCAACUAAGUCAUACGUGAAAUCCCUCGGCUUAACCGGGGAACUGCGUCUGAUACUGGAUGGCUUGAGGUUGGGAGAGGGAUGCGGAAUUCCAGGUGUAGCGGUGAAAUGCGUAGAUAUCUGGAGGAACACCGGUGGCGAAGGCGGCAUCCUGGACCAAUUCUGACACUGAGGAGCGAAAGCCAGGGGAGCGAACAGG